UCAUAGAAACUUCUUCAAAACCAGUAAUUGAAGGAGACUGUUAAUAAGAUGGAGCCUUAUAUAAUGAAACAUAAUCAUGGGAAUGACAUCUUAUCACCUUUGCCAUAUUUUUUUGGUCAGAAGCAAGUCACAGAUUUCACCUACAUUCAAGGGGAAAGGAUUAUACAAGGACAUGGACUUACAAAAGCAGAGAUUAUUGGACCAUCUUAAAAUCUGUUGGCCCCAUUGAACUUGUUCAAAAUAAACAGAACUAACACAAUUUUCAGGGGAAUCUUAUCCUGAAAUCUUUGUGUUGAGAACAUGUGUGUGUUAACAUUGAGGAUUCCAAAAGUUGAAGGUAAGAGGAAAGCAAUUAAGUUGGGAAAGAAAUAAAAAAGGGUUUUACUACAGACUGCUAAGGUGGAUAUAGAAGAUGCUUUGCUAAUACAGAUGAUGGAGUCAAAUAAGGGAAAAACCAUGAAGGAUAAAAUGGUUAGGAAAAGAUAUGUAGGUGAGAUAAGAUUUAAAAUGAACUCUGAAUAAUGGGUAGAACUUAGAGAAAGAAAGUAGCAUUCUAUUAAGUAGUGAAGGUGUGAAUAGUAUUUGGAAUUGGUAAAAACAUGGAACAUACAGUGGACACCUGGGAGACUGAAGUGAUUCAAUGAUUCUCUACCCUGGCUACACAUUAGGAUCACUUGGAAGUCUUUACAAAUAGUGAUACUCAGCCCAUCUCAGGUGUUCUGUUUUGAUUGCUGUGUGAUGGAGCACAGAUGUCAAUGGUUUAUAAAAGUGAUCCAAGUAAAUUUAGUGUACCUCAGAGAUGAGUGCCACAAGCAUGAUUAAGAGUGUACUCACGUAAAACAAAUUAGUAGGAUACAUAUGUCAAAUAGGAUGAGCUAUAGGUUGCAUAUGAUACCUAGGACAUAGAAAAAAAACUUUGUUUUAGGCUUACUGCUGUUCUUAAUAGCUAUAGAACAUACAUGUUUCAGAUAUCUCUGCUGCAUCAUUUCAGAUCCUCUUUCUUAGCUUCACGCUUUUUUCCCUUUUUUCUUUUUAUUUUUCUUUUUUUCUUCUUUCUUUCUUUCUUUCUUUAUUUUUUCAGCUUUUGUGGUGGCAGGCAGCUCAAUGAGGGCUUUUCUUUACACAGUCCCAAGCAGAGAGUGUCAUCGCCUCCUGCCUGCUCCUAAAGCCUCUCUUUUUGGUUCACUGCCCUGUGCCCUCACCCUGGCCUACAUAAUCCAGAAGUAUAGACAAAUUAAUAUCCUGUGGAGUAAACCUUUGGCCAGUGGGAAACAGGAACCAGUGGAUAAAUCCUUCCUUUUUGUCCACAUAUUGCCCCCAGUAGAGUCCUUGAAUGUACUUUAUAGAGAUAGCUUCUUGGAGGCCGAGUUUCACAAAUCUAGCAUUCUGCUGCACUUAGCAACAGUAAGUUCAACAGCACAAUUGUGUAUUUGUUCUCCUUUAGCUGCUCCACUCUCUUUGUUUCUCUCCUGCUCCCCAGAAUUGUAUCCCUAAUAAAGUGCAAGCAAAUAGCUCCAGAAGCCUCAGCUCUGCUUUCUGCUGAACCCAAGUUAUAAAUGAUGUGAACUUGGAAAAGCUCUAAGGCAGCCCAGGAAAAGGCAGACAAGAAACCAUCAUGAAUGGGUGCUGCAUGAGCAGAGAUUGUCAAGAAAAUGGGAUGGUAAUUUGCAUAGGUCCACAAAGCGAACAUUGAUUUGAAGUGUUCCUGUGAAUGGCCAGUAGACAGGAUAUAGAAACAGACAGGAAAUCAUAAAGUGGAGAAUGGUGUAUAAGAUGGAGUUUCAGCCUGGGGAAGUACAUAAAAUAAUGCCAUGUCAAGGUCAUAAGAACUUCGACAGUCAGGGAGAUGACAAAUAGAAAACUGAUUCAUAAAUCCUGAAAUAAAAUAUUACUACCUAAACUCUAAAUCAGAUGGCCACCAGGUCAAAAAUAAAUUACAAGGUGAAUCUAAUGUAGCUAUGUAAUUAAAAAUUGGCCAUGUUGAUGAGGCAAGAAAUUUUGGCAAUAACAGUAAUGAAGGUGUCAGGGCUCAGAAAAUGACAUGCCAAAUUAUGGCACUUUAGUGUGCUGAGUACUUUGAACUAAAGGAGAUUGGAAUGCCUCAGAAGCAAAGCCACUCUAUCCCCCACCUUUCUGUGUAGGUGUAUAGCAGAUGCAUCUGACAGCAAUAACUUAAGCAUACCCUGAGAAAGACCCUCAAGUCUAAGAAGAAUGUGUGUUUGGAGUUCUGAGCUAAGAAAUCCAGGAGUGGCAAACCUAGAGAUUCGCUCCUUGUCUAUGAAGGACAUAUGACCCCCUGGCCCAUGCCUUGGAAUGCAGGCCAUAUAGGGGAUUAAGGUCCUUUGUUUUGGGUUAUAUGGAGGUUGUUAGGUGGAGGGUGGUAGCAGGUUUUCAGUCCAGCCCACCACCACUGUACUGCCCCAUAUGUAAGUCCUCAGUAAACCCUAUGUGUCAUCUGCUGGUUCCGGGUCUCCUCUCUUCUUCCGCUUCUAGGACAUGGUGCUAUCCCUAUUGGAGUCAGUAGGUCUGGCACAACAGUAGGAGCUGGCCAUAAAGAAAUUCUCUGACCUACCUUGUCUGAUAGCAGGUCAUAAGAUCCUUAUUCCAGAGGGGUCCUGCCCCAUACCUGGGAGAAAGGAAUGCUACACAGAGGUCAAGGAGAAGCCAAACAAGCAGGACUUAAUGGGUUUCCCACUCCGUCUAUUGCCAUUAGAUCAUACAUUUUUUGUGUGGAAUCAUAUUUCUACAUGGUUGUCCAUUCUUCAUGAAAACUAAGAAUAAAAGUAGACAAUUUUCCCUGA